GACGAGGGAUCCUAGCGUUGUUCGGAAUCAUUGGGCGUAAAGCGGAUGUAGGUGGCUUUGUAAGUCAGAUGUGAAAGCCCAGGGCUCAACCCUGGAAGUGCAUUUGAUACUGCGAAGCUUGAGUGCCGGAGAGGUUACUAGAAUUCCUGGUGUAGUGGUGAAAUGCGCAGAUAUCAGGAAGAACACCCGUGGCGAAAGCGGCUCUCUGGAACGGUACUGACGCUGAGACGCGAAAGCGUGGGGAGCGAACAGG
rnacentral:rRNA from 1 species